UACAGAGGUCUCAAGCGUUGUUCGGAUUCAUUGGGCGUAAAGGGUGCGUAGGUGGCAGGGUAAGUCGGAUGUGAAAUCCCGGGGCUCAACCUCGGAACUGCAUUCGAUACUGCUUUGCUGGAGUACUGGAGAGGAGAUUGGAAUUUACGGUGUAGCAGUGAAAUGCGUAGAUAUCGGGAGGAACACCAGUGGCGAAGGCAGCUCGCUGGGACGGUACUGACGCUGAGACGCGAAAGCGUGGGGAGCAAACAGG
rnacentral:rRNA from 1 species